rnacentral:rRNA from 1 species
UACGUAGGGUGCAAGCGUUAAUCGGAAUUACUGGGCGUAAAGCGUGCGCAGGCGGUUAUGCAAGACAGAUGUGAAAUCCCCGGGCUCAACCUGGGAACUGCAUUUGUGACUGCAUAGCUAGAGUACGGUAGAGGGGGAUGGAAUUCCGCGUGUAGCAGUGAAAUGCGUAGAUAUGCGGAGGAACACCGAUGGCGAAGGCAAUCCCCUGGACCUGUACUGACGCUCAUGCACGAAGGCGUGGGGAGCAAACAGG